UUUUUAUGAGCUAGAGAGAAGAAAAUGUGCUGUAAUGCUCUGUGCCAGCAGCUAAAGUGCAACUGGAUGUCUGUGGUGCAGCUGAUGUGUGACCCAUGGACCCUCCCAACUGCAGGCCAGUCUCAGUUGGAUAGCUGGACACAGCUGUGUCCCUGCCCUGGAAAUGGAACCAGAGGAAUGAGAAACAAAGGACGCUGAUGCUGCUUUUCGUCUUCUGCCCAAGGAGAAUAAAUGUUUGUGUGAGCCUUUUUUCAUGUGGCUGCCCAGAAAUGACCCAAGUGAAGCCAAGAAGCUGAGCAUUAAGCAACCUCACCCUGGUGAUGCUGCUGAAAUGAGAUGUCAGUGGUGAAAACUUUCUUCUGGAAGAGCUAAUGGUGUAAAUAGGGAUCUGUAAGGGAGUGACACAGAAAUAAGCAGGACCCUAUCUCAAAUGUUAGGUGGGAGAUCAGAGGUCACAGCUGUCCUUAGGUGUCUCAGUGGGGCAACCAACCUCCCUGUGCCACAGUCACCUGCCUGGGUGGGCUGGGGCAAUGAGCCCAGCAAAGAGUUGCAAACAGCCUUUUUUGGGUUUUUUCAGUCACUGUUUCUGACACUCACAGGAGAUUACAGCCUGGGCCUUUACAACGGGACUUGUGGUGGAAAGCUCUGAAGGCUGUAAUCCUUGACAUGACAUUAUCUCACAAUUACAAAUGAACAUCCACCCCUUUAUUUUUUUUUUCAAAGAAGCCCUUGUCCUCAGGUAUCCCAUAUGUAAUAUUUGUAAACACAUCUUCUCCUCCCAUCCCAACCAGCUUCUGUGGGUUUCUCUCCCUCCCAGAAGUCAGCAGCCUGGUGCUGUACGUGGAGCUGCAGAAGGAAGGUGUGAUACUACAGUGCACGCAACAAAGUACAGAAACAAGAUCAUUAACAUCUUAAUAUCCUGCCCUGACAUCUCACAAAUUAUUUUAGACUUCAUAGCCAAUGUAAACAGGUUUGUUUUCAACUCCCCUAAUUGCCUGCUAAUUGAGAGCAGAUGCAGGUCUCAACUUUC